ACAGGAUCCCCCUCCUGAUCACCCAGAUACAGAACCCCCUCCAUCAUAUAUCAAAGUGGCUCCUCAUUUUAAGCCCCAUUUAACAAACGUGUGGUUCACUGAUGCUUCCACAAAAAGGGAAGGCAAGACAUGGAAGUAUCGAGCAGUAGCAUUACAUAUUGAUUCAGGGGAGCGUAUAAUAACUGAGGGAGAGGGUAGCGCCCAAGUAGGGGAGUUAGUUGCUGUGUGGAGCGUAGUCAUUAAGGAAGCUGAGACAACAGAACCAGUACACAUUUAUACUGACUCCUACGCAGUGUUUAAAGGAUGCACUGAAUGGUUACCGUUUUGGGAACAAAACCAAUGGGCAGUAAACCAAGUGCCAGUGUGGCAACGAGACAAAUGGGAAGAAAUACUGAAUAUCGCCAAGCAGAGAUCUUUCUUGGUAGGCUGGGUUGCUGCACACCAGGCAGGAGACAACCCGGCUCACCUCCUAAAUAGCCAGGUAGAUUCCUUAACAUGUCUAGCCAGUCUUGCCAUCAAUGGUGAAGCAGAGAAAUGGGAACACCUUCUGGAGUGGCUGCAUGUGAAGCGUGGCCAUUCAGGGAGUAAAGACCUGUACAAAGAGACUAUUAGUAGAGGAUGGGCCAUUACCUGAGAAUUAUGUAACACUUAUUUCUGCAUGUGGUCAAUGUUGAGUUCGUUUGGAAAAAUAUAACCCUUUAAAGGAGCAACCCCUACAUUUAAGGAGAAACAAAGGUUUAUGGCAAAUGUGGUAAUUUGACUAUAUUGGCCCCUUUUGGGUAUCAGAGGGAAAACGAUAUGUGUUAGUAGGAGUUGAGGUAGUAUCGGGACUAACACAAGCUGAAGCCGCAUCCAGAGCAACAGGAGAAAAUACAGUGAAAAGUCUUAAAGUAUGGUUUAGCUGCUUACCCAAGCCUCAGUCAAUUCCAUCUGAUAGUGGGAGCCAUUUCACUGCUGGAGUUGUGCAAGAAUGGGCUAAGGGUGAGGAAAUCCAGUGGGUUUUUCACACCCCUUACUACCCUCAAGCUAAUGGUGUGGUGGAGAGAACGAACGGACUUCUAAAACGAGCUCUGAGGCCCCAUGACCCAGGGUGGGCCUCGCGAGUACCAGAAGCAGUAUACCGAAUCAAUAGCCGGUGGGGGGCAAAUGGUUGCCCCCAACUCCUAGUGUUCUGUCCCACACCUCCUUCUAUCAUUCCAGGGACGAAAGGCAGCAAAGACCCUGUACGCUUGCUCCACUAUGCUGGACAACCAGUAUUAGUGGAACUGCCCACUGUGGGGCAAGUGCCCCUAACCUUAAAGAUCCCCCUUAACUUUCAUGCCUGGGUGGCCACAGAUGCCCAUGGGAAGGAGCAUUGUAUCGAUACCCAAUGGAUUGUCCCAUCCUUCUAAGUGGGCCUUCAUGUCCUGAAUUAAAGUUGUUCCGAUGUUCAGUGGCUGAUGGGAAUAUGGUUUUUUUUCUGUACCCCACUAGCUGGAUUCUAACAAGCAUAUCAGUUAAGAUGCACAAUAUAACCCCAACCCUCUGCUAUAGCGCUAAGACCAUAGCUGCUUGGUUGCUUGCUUAUGUCUUUGUUACUUUUGUAUUUCUGACUAGCGAUGCUGUGUUGAAUUUUCAGGAUUCCUCAGCUGCGGGGAGGACAUAGGGAGCUUGGCAGCAGACCGCGUUGGAGUUCUUGCAGCGGCACCUACGCCACGUAAGAGCAAGAGGUCGCUGUAAACUUAUUCGCCUUUUUACGCACAAUGAGCAUGUUCUGCUGAUCUACGGAUGCUUUAAUCAGAGCAAUUCCAGUCAAGAGAGCUUGAAGUUUAAGGCUAGUUUGUAUGCCUCUAUAAUAAGUAACACAUCCUGCACAUGGCCUGUAUGAGGUCGUUUUACCGAAGCUGCAUGAGCACUUUGGAGGGUCACCUCAGCCUCUCGGAUGGAUCCCAACCACUAGCAGCACUGGUUGACAUCUCCUUCAAUCCCAUCCCUCUAAUCAUUGUUUAGUUUUGUAUAUAUUUUGCAGGUUAUCAGAAGCCCACGGCAGGACUUAUGUUUUCAGUUGAUGAGUGGGCUGUUAUCUGUAUUGUUUGUUUGAUUUUGCUUGUGGUAUUUUUAUGGUACAGCAGGGAAAGAUGGUUUGGAACUCCUCCCUCCUUGCCUUUCUUACCUUUGGUGCAUCUGGACAAGGAGAAAGGACCUCCAAUUUAGCUUGGGAAGUGAUACAAGGAUUCAUACAUGUCUGGAAUAGAACGGAUCAGGGGAUCUGUAAUCAGAUUCCUACUUUUGCAGAGCAGGGGAUUAGACUCGGUUUGAUACCCAUGAGGCUCAAUAUUGGAAAAUAUAAUAUGAGCAAUGGCAUUAUAGGGUUAGUAGAUGCUCCGUUUGAGUAUCAAUAUUGAAGUGAUUAUACCUCCUCUAGCAGAUGGUGGCGAGAUGAAGCAGCCUUCUGUGAGAUCCCUUGGGACAUGGGGUGGCCUGACUUAAUAAACAAAACUUGUAAGCGAUGGAGAUUGGAGGUCGGUCGCGAAAUUGGUGUUAGUCAUAGCCCACCGUGUCCUCCAGGAUUCAAGGAAGCCUAUUCCAGACGAUUCCCACCUUCUCCGUCCUGGUGGAGAAUAACAGGCUGCCCUUCCUAUCACAAUAUAUCUGGUAAUCUAGUGCCCUUUUGGCCUGCUUCCCCGGAAAUUACCCCUUUUGAAUUACAAUAUAAUGUAAGAUGGGAUUCGGCUUGGUGUGUUCACAUACCUGACGGGAAGGGACAGUAUCUUUUAAUGAAUAACGCCCACACUGCUUGGGGAUGGUUAGUGAAACACAUGUUAAAAAACCAACCUCUUCACUUAUUAAAGAAAGAAGUCGUGGGCACGCCCAACGCCAAUGAUGCCCAUUUGUUAAACUGUACCCCCAUUAUAGAUUGUACCACAGGUGCUGGCAAUCCCAUUGAAACGUGGAUCUUUGGAAGUUAGAGCCUUAAUUCGAGAUAUGUGCACCUGUUGGACAUAUCCUAAUUUUGGAUACCGAAACCGAGAUAGCCAGUGUAAUCAGAUCACCAGUAAUGUUAAUAUCUGGCUAAAAUGUGGAAUUCCCAUUAACCACUUGCCAAGACAUCAGGUGGGGGAGGAUAAUCAAAUACCCCGGGGAGACGCAGCUACUUGUCAAAACGCUUUGUAUGCCGCCCCUGAGGGGACCGUCUGGGGGUGCUCAGAUGGGAGAAUGUGCUCGCCCUUGAAUGUUAUCAAACGGGCUGGAUUGCGGUGUGGUUUGGGAACUGCUACUAUGUGUCCCAGGCGAAUCUUUGAAUAUACCACACCACCUAUUCACAGGAAAAAAACUAGAACUUGAUGACCCAAGUAGCACCCAGAAGUGGAUUCAAAGCAUUCUAAAACCCGAUUAUUAUACCUGGGGACAGAAGGUAUCAUUAGAGCUAGAAGCAUUCUUUGCACCAUCCUGUAUAUUGUUCAGCACCAGUGGGUGCUAGAAAACCUAACUUGGCAAGUACGUGUAUUAAGUGAUUGGACUCGAUAUGUCUUUGGGGAACUAAAUCUGCAAGUGCAACAAGUAUCAAAAAUGGCAUUACAGAAUCGUUUAGCCUUAGGUAUGUUAUUGUUAAAAGAAUAAGGUGCGUGUGUGGUAUGUUAAACUUGACUGAAUCUGAAUGUUGUAUUACCAUUCAUAAUGCCACGACCUCAGUUGAAGAAGCCCGGGCAAAGAUGAAGGAGAUUGCUGACCAGACGGGGGAACUCUUCCACGCAAUGCAACUAGCUGACUGGUUUGAUGGCUGGAGUCCCAACUCAUGGCUACAUUCCAUUUUGGGAUCCUUGGGACUGAUGGGAUGGGGAAAAUGGCUUGUAAAUAUUUGACUUACGAUAUUAAUUGGAUUUACACGUUUAAUAGCAGGCCUUGCCACAGUAAGAUGUAUGAUUAGCUGCUUACUAUCCUCAGCUGUCUCUCUUCUCCUACUGUCCGCUAUACUAAAAUUACCACAGACAAAGAUGAUAUGAAUGAGAAUCAAAGUCCAGUGACUGUUUGAGCCACAGGGUGGUGUGACACUCUGACAAAUUACAGUCAAUGUCUCAAACAUUUGUUAAAGAACUUUGGUGGAGAAAACGGCCUCUGUAAAAAUGCUGGAGUCUUGUGAACAGGACAGUGUGGCCAGAGGAGAGUGCCCCAUGGAGGGUGGGACCGCGCUUCUCCAAAGCCGCAAUUCCUUAUCUUAAGUGACCAGGAGAAGGAGCACAGCAUAUGCGCCUGGAGAAGGAGGCCCCACGGAAGAUCACAGCUACUAUUGCCAACAAGGUGUAAAAGUACUGAGGGGGAGAGGGUUUUGCCGCUUCUCCCCGAGAAGCAUGGAUGAUGGGUUUAUCCCUGUGGUGCUUGAGCAAGGGCUUCCUCUGCGUGCGUGAGAGCUCUCCCGGUAAGAAGAGCCCGCGGGGCCGUAGGUUGGUGCAGCCGCUCCGCGAGGGGUGUUGCACUUGGCCUGGAAAGAGUGUUUGGAGAGCUGCCGGGUGCCAGUCAAGAGGUCACCAGGCCCCUCCGCUGCUCACAAAAUCAGUGCUGUAGAUCGCAGGGGCGCAGGAGAGCACACAGGGGAACGAUCCCCUGCUUGCCUUGCUCUUAUGUGCCAUGCUGGGCUUCACCCACAGGCACGGGACCUGAGGCUAGACCGACUUUUGGGCUGAUGCAAUCUUCCUGCUGGGAGAACAGCAGGACUGGAGUCUUUUCCCCUCUCCCCCCUCAUUUGUCACAGACUCGCUGACAGCAUGCAGGUGACCUAACUUUAGACACCUGAGCUACUGACCCCUGCUCCAGCCCCCUCAUCGUCUUUGUGGCCCUGCUCUGGACCCACUCCAGCAGGUCCAUGUCUGUCUUAUGCUCUUUACCACUGUACGCCCCAGGGGAUAAAAAGCAGGGGAGAACCUCAGCUAAAGUCAAUCUGAUAGAAAAGACCCAGACUGUCUCUGUGCAAAAGACCAAAGCAGAGAGGGGAAGCUGGGGAGCACCCUCAGUCACCGCUGAGCACGAGAGGUGACGGAAGAUGUGGUUAGGCAAAGGGCUCUCUCUGAGUCCAUUAAAUGGGCUGCCAACUCCCGCUUUGCAGCAA